rnacentral:lncRNA from 1 species
GGGGGCUAAUGCCUGAACUGUUCUGGAAUUCUCCUGCCUGAAGCCCACCAAUGACUUCUCUGCUGUCCUCAGAACUAACCCAGAGCAGGUUUGUUUAUUGUCUCCAUGGCUCGCAAGGCUCCACGCGGUCUGGAACCCAGACUGACCUCUCAGUUUCACCCCCACAGACUUGCUCUGCUCAAAGCUUCCCCACCACGGCCUCACUCUCCCCUCCUGCCUCCCAGCAGCCGCUCGGCCCCAAGCCCCAGAGCAUUUUUUGACUCAUUCUCUUUCUCUCAUACCCCACAGCCUGUAUCCUUAAACCAACCUCCUCUUCCGGGAGCCACCACCGCUCGCCCCUCAGGCCUGGCCAGUCCUCUCUGCAGCAGGUGCCUCCUACCUUGAAUCCUUGCUUCUGCCUGCACUCUCGGCUCACAGGCAGCCAGGAAGACCCUUUGAAAACACAACUGCGAUAAUGUCACCUCGGUGCACUCAACAACCCAGUGGCUUCCCAUUGUAGUUGCGGGGAAACCCUAAAUCGUUGUAGCUCACCAAGCUCCAGACCUCAGGGUCCAGUUCCCCUCAACCUCCUCUCCUCCUGCCUGGUCACUCACCUGCUUUAACUACACAGGCCUCUUUGCUGUUCCCCUCGGAGCCCGUGUACCUGCUGUUUCCUCCCCACAAAUGUCUUUCUCCAGAUGCUUCUGUGGUGGAUGCCUUCCCUUCCAGGUCUCUGCCCAAAUACCACCUCCUUAGAGCUUCCCCGGACCCCCAGCUGCUGUGCCCUCAACUCUCUCUCACAUGUACACCCUAAUUCUCCUCUUCACCCCUUACCCACCUUAGUUUUUCUUCUAAGUGCUUAUUUCCACCGGAAAUUAUUCUACUUAUAAAGUGUACAAAUAAUUUAAAAAUGUUACAACAUUGUCCAUCUCUCUAAAGCAUAAUCUCUAGAAGAGCAUGAAUAGUGAAGGAAAAGAAGAAAGGGUAAAGGAAUUAGGGGCAGAUCUGGCUGAGUGGAGGCAGGAAGGAGGAAGAGGUGAAACCUGGGCGCUAGGAUCUCUGGGGGAAUGGCGGGUCGAGCUCAGGGAGCCGGCACAAGGCCCUGUGGAAUGAGGCUGAGGGUGACUUUCGGAACAAAGUAUAUGGAGCUGUAAAUACCAAAAGGGGAGCCGUGGAACCCAGAAGCAGAAUUCAGUAUUGGCCCUAAAGCUUCUUCCAUCUCUCUGGAAGGCAAGUUAUAACUUCUGGAAAGGACAGUGAGGGUCGGAUCCUAUAGAUCGUAUUCCAGGCUUGGCCUGAGCUGCUCUCCUGACCAUCCUCUGAGCCGGGAGGGUGUGGACUCAAGAUUUGGGGCCAAGGAGGAACUCGCAGCGUCACGCCCUCUGGAAUGCUGUGGCUGCGAUUAACGCGCUCCAGAUUUGCACAGUUCCCGUCAGAACAUGAAACCAGAGGAAAAAAAACCCAUGAGGCCCAGAUUGAUCAGCGCAGAACUUAGCAACAGCACAACAAGCUGUAGCCAGCCCACUUCUGCAGCGAGGGGCUUUCCGCCAGGCCUGGGGCUUGGGAACUCCGAGCGGGCUCUGCUGUCUCUGGCUGGUUUGCAGGGCCCAGAGGCCCACCCCGUUGGCCAUUGCGGUGGUGGGUCUGCGACUUGUGCUGGAACCACAGGGCAUCCCAGAGAUGGCCUACAAUCCCUAUGGGGAGCCUGAGAAAGGAAGGCUGGUGGGUGUCCCCACACUUGGCCACCUUGGGAACGCUGGUUCACUCUGCUGGUUGAUGGGCUCACCAGGCCCACACCUUUGCCAGGAGCUGACAAGAGCGUGGGGGGACUUCUGAGUUUCAGAAACAUCCAGAUUACCCCGGCAUUUCAUGGUGAGUCACAGCCUCCGGUCUUCACCAUGACAUCUGGACGGCAAGGAACUUGGCCGGCUCCCGACCCAGUUCCUCAGUGCCUCCUCCCUCCACCAGGCCAGCUGCACACUCCCUGGGCCAGCAUGAUCGUGUUAUAAAAUAUCUCAAGCAUAUGGAGGUUCAUAAAAUCGUACUGGGGACAAGCACCCCUCACUCCUGUUUAACUCCAUGGUUUGCCUGAUCUGCCUCGCCCUUUCUCUUUCUCUCUCAUAAGAAAUCAAAUGUACAAAACCUGUGUGAGCAUGGCCGUGGUAGGUAGCGCUGGUGGGGUAUCCCCGGGCGUGUCUAGGGAGAGAGCAGACCCGCGGAGCUGGAUUGCAUCUAUCGUGCUAAUGAUGGGGUGCCUGGCAGAUAUCUGACAAUAGAUCUGGCACAUAGUAGGUGCUCAGGAAGUAGUGGCUUUCCUGAUAUCGUUGCAACCCAUCCACACGCAGCCUGUGAGUCAGGUGGUCUGCAAAUGGGGAAAGAGAUGCCAAGAGCAGGGCUCAGGGUCACUCGGCCAGGAAGGGGACCGGGACUAUAAGUCUUGGGAGUAGAGAGAGGACAGCCACUGGUCUCCCAGUGCCCUCCCUUCCUGGGGGUGCAGGGAAGAGGGCCAUGUCCAGGCUUGGGUCCCGCAAAGAGGUGCUGAAGGUAAGAGCCCACCGGAAAGUGACUGGAGGAAAGUUGCCUUGAUUUCCCUAAUGCAGCCGUUUGGGGAAUUCAAGGCAGGGCCAGGGGCUCCUCCAGGGAUGGGGGUCUCCAGGCUCACCCUGACGGCCCCUUUCUCUCCCUCUGUAGCAGCCGCCACCUGCCCUGGUUGGACGGCUCCUGGCCUCGCUGCAGUGACAGGGGGUGAGGGCAAACUCGUUGCAGUUGGGGGUCCCCAGGGGAUGUGAGAGGAUCCAGCAUCUGGGAAUGCAGCAACCCUCACACCUAUUUACCUGACUCACAGACUCUAGCUUAGUGACUGUGUAGCUUAUGAAGAACAGGACCCAGUCCUGUCCUCCAAGGACCCCAUCUUAGGCCCCAUCUCAGAGCGGGCCAGUGGUGGGGGAUCCCUCUGGAGCCCCAAGUCCCCAGGAUGGACUCCCUGCUCCAGUAGUGACCAGCUGUGUGUCCCCGUGUGGGUAGUUCUCCUCCCCAGGUCUCAGUGCUUCAUCAUCUGUGACCUAUGAGGAUGGGGUGAUCGAUGUGGCCUGUUCCCAGUACCACAUAUAUGACAGCCUUUAUUCCAGUAAAUACUCGGGUGCUCCUGCCACCCUCCACACCACUGUGUUGUUCUAAACAGCGUUUUUUUCAGAGUGGAGGUCCCCACAUCACCAGCAGCAGUGUCACCUGGGAACCUGUUAGAAAUGAAAAUUCCCUGGCCCCACCCCAGACCUACUGAAUCAGGAACUCUGGGGUGGGGCCCAGCAGUCUGUGUUUAACAAGCCCUUCGGGGGAUUCUGAUGCCUGCCCGUGUCUGGGAACCACUUUUUUAGGACAUCAGCCUGACUGUAUUGUGUUCUUGCUCUAGACCCUUCCAUGGCUCCCCAUGGCCUUCUGGAUAAAGUCCAAGGAUCUGACCGUGGUUGAAGCCCUCCCCUGAUGGCCCUGACUGAUACGCUGUGGUCUAUUUCCCCGAUCAGAUAGUAGGCUGCUGGAGGGCAGUGACUGUGACUCACGCCUCUGUCCUGUGUGCCUGGCCCCCAGCUGGGCUGGCAGGCUUUGCAGAGGGCAGGAGAAAAUUGUGGCCUGCGCUGACUACAUGUGUGGUGCCCAGUGGCAGUCUGAGGUUCAGAUUCUGGCCUUCACUCUAUGGCUGUGUGAACCGGGCACGUUGCUUCACUGUUUGGAGCCUCAGUGUUCCCAUCUAGGGAAUGGGCAUAGUGAUAGUGUCUGCUUUGGUGACUGUGAGGGGAUUAACUACAAUCACCCGUACAAAGUGCUGAGCCUGGUGUCUGGAAGGUGCCUUAGAGAAUCGAGGAUCCACAACCUUUUAUCCCAAACCUGGGGCCAGAGGUUUCAGAAUUCUGAGUGGUACACACAGCCAGGUGAGCUCCACACACAGUCAUUCGGGCCUCACGGUAGUCAUUGAGGAAGGUGUGGUCACUCUCCCGUUUUACAGAACACUUUACAGAACACUGAGUCUCAGGGAGACGAAGUUACUUGGUUGGGGCCUCACAGCUCAGUGGAGGGCAGGGAUUGGGACUUGCCACAUGACCUUUGGGGCCACAUUUACAAAAAUCUUUUGGUUUUUGGGAACGAACUGCCCUCAUGCUGGCUUCAGGGAGAAGCCCGUGACGGAGUGAAAGAACACAGGCUUGAGGACUCGAACCGGUUCUGCCAUUUCCUCACGGUUGCAUCUCAGCCAGGUGACCUUGCCUCACUGAGCCUCAGUUUCCCCAUCGGCAAAUCGAGAUUAGCAGUCGUUCUUUGGCAGGGCUGAGGGAGAAGGGGCUGGGAUGAGGCGGGGCACUCUGCGGGCACUCAGGAGGGGCAGCGCUGGUGCUGACUCUGCUCUCCUCUGGGGUGUCAGGCUGAGCCCCAGAAUUCCCCAGGCCCCACCCCCAGCCCACACUCCAACGUGCCUGGGCCUGGGCCCUGGAGCGAGGAGGAGCCCUCCUAUCCUGUGUUGCCCAGAUAUUGUGGAGGCCUGUUGGUGUCUCUCCAUGGUGACAGUGCCUUGAGCUGGAUGGAGGUGACGUAGCUGCCUGUGUCGGGCCCCCACGGGUGCGGUUGUGCCCCUGGGACACUGAAGGAAGCAGGCUGGCACGGCCAAUGCCCUCUGAGUGACACUGCAGGGGCAAGCUGGGCCCUCGCUUCCUGGAAUCCAGCAGACGGGUGCCCAAGUCUGUGUUCCGAUGCUUCGCUUUCCCGCCAGGCUGGGUCGGAAGCAGUCGCAUUUCCAAUCGGGGCACUGUCUCUACCUCCCUCUCUCGAAAACUCUUCUUUUAAGGUUGGGCGUUUGCCAGGCACCACAGCGGGUUAGGGAGCUCCAAGUUCCAAAGCCAGAGGCCUGGGUUCAAAUCCCAGCUCGGCCAAUGGCCGGCGGUGUGAUCUGGGGCAGGUUACUUGACUCUGUGCCUUCAUUUCCUAAUCUGUGAAGGAGCAGACACCUCCAUCCUCCCAGGGGCUCAGAUGAAAACCCCGGAGACAUCUUGGACUCUCCUCUGUCUCGCAUGCCCGCAUCUGAUCUGACUCUCAGGAAGUCCGGUUGGCUCUGCUCUCAGAUGUAUCCAGAUACCCAGAUUCCAGUGACAUCUUUCCCUCUCCAGCUCUACCCCGCUGCUCAGAGCCACCGUGUCUCUCAACUCCCUGUCCUUUCUGCUCCCACGCUGGCUCACCGAUAGCUCACUCUCAGGGCCCUGCAGCCAACGGGAGGACCAAAGUCUUCCCAGUGGCCCACGGGUCCACACCACGUGGCCUCACCUCCCCCACUUGUUGCGCCUCCCGCCUCUCCCCUGGCUCACCCUGCAGGACUCCCCUGGGCUCCCUCGAGUCCUGCCCUGAUAUGUUGCCCUGGCCAUUCUGUCUGUCUGGAAUGCUCUUCUCCAGGUACAGGCCUGGCUUGCUUUCUCACCUUCUUUGGGUCUUUGCUUGAAUGUCACCUUAUCUGACUCCAGUAUUUAAAGGGCAGCCCACCCCCCCCCCCAGCCCCCCAGAUCCUUUGCAUACCCCUCCUUGCUUUAUUUUUCCUCAUAGCCCUAAUCACUAUUUAGUAUGUCCUCUAUUUCCCUUUAGUUGUCCGUAACUCAUUCUACUAGAAUGUAAGCUGCAGAGGGCUGGGAGUUUUGAGUAUUUUGUUCUCAGCUCUAGCGCCUGAACGUAGAAUGGCCUGUGGCCCACAGUAAGUAUGUAAUAUUGUUGAAUGAAUGAAUGCAGGUAGGAGUAGUGUAAACCAUGGUUUUUGUUGUGAGGAUUGAACGCGUUUAAUGCAAAGCACUUAGGACAUGCAGCACUCGCCAGAAGCACUCAAUAUGGUUGCUGUUGUUGUUGGGGUUGCAGGUCUCUGCUCCAGAGAGCUCAGAGUGCAGCAGAGGGAGGGGCCGAUCCUGCCCCUGCCAGGAAGAUGUCCCGGAAGAAGGCUCAACAACACCUGCAGACCCCCCCGGGGCAGUGAAAGGGCCCAGGGCGCCCUGGAAAUGGUGAGCAACCAGGUGAGCAGGCGUGGGGUGGUGGAGGGGCCCCAAACAAGGCCAGACUGUCUAUGCAGCUCCCCCUCUUGAAGCAUCUGGAAUGCCAGGCCAAGGAGUUGGGGCUUUCUUUGGGGGCAAUGGGGAGCCUCAGAGAGGCCUGGGUGGGGAUGGGGUGGGGCUGGGUGGGGAAAGUGGGUGAAGACUCUGAAAACCAAGCCUUAAAGGGGAAGGUCAUGGCCUUCAACUGAAAGGUUUGUUGUAGCAGUGAGGGGGUGGGAAGGACCAAGGACCUGAGCUCUCCCUACAAGGGCAGUCUCCAUUCGGGCCCCUAUGGGCAGGGGGGCCUUUCUGGUGAGCAAGACGGUCCCCCAGUGACUCCACACUGUGCUGGCCCAGCAUUAGGGAGGAAGCAAGUAGCCCAUCUCUGGCAGUUUUCCAGCAGAAUUCCUGGUGUGCUAGGGAGAAAGGGAGAGUGGCCGGACUGCGUGUCUCCCUUACCGGCAGGAGGGGCACAGACAGGUUCUCAGUGAGGGGCAGUGAAGUGGGUUCUGCAGGCUGGAGGCCUCCGGGGAGAGCCUGUUCACCAGUGCCUCCAACCUGAGUUUGGUGAGCACCUACUAUGGCCCAGGACAGUGCCAGGGACCAGAUGUGCAGAGGACACAGUGUAAGCAAGGCCCCUGCCCUCGUGGGGCCAACAGGCUAGGGCAGGAGGCAGCAAACCAACUGCGGAGCAGGUGAAUGACAUUGAAUUGCAAAUGUGAGGAUUUGCCUUUCAUGGGAGAGAGUGGCUUGGGCUAGAGGCUUGGGGGAAGGCCUCUCAGGGAAGAUGGCAUUUGAGCCAAUAUGUGCAGGGUUAGCAGGAAGUCUUCAUGCAAAGAGUGAGGGGAAGAACACUCCAGUCAGAGAGAACAGCUGGCCACUUCCAGUCUAAUGAUAUUCAAGGUGGGGUUGGGUUUUCCAGGGCUGGUCAGAAUCUGCAUUUGGGGAAUCCAUUUUUAGCAGCCAAACCAUGAUAAGUGAGGCCCAAUGUCAUGCUCACUGUGGCCUCCUCUGCCCUUCCAGAAAACAAUGUUUAUCACCUGUUCCGCCCUGGCAUAGGAAAAAAGGGUUUGGCCAAGCAAGGAUUCAAGGGGCAGAACGGGAGAGUCAGCGCUUUCUUCUUUGGAGGUGAUAAUAAUCUUACCAAAGCACAGAAAGAAAACUAAUUCAAGUAUUUCAUUCAUUCAAGUACGUAUUGAGCACCUACUAUGUGCCAAGCAUUGUUCUCAUGCAGGGCACAUGGCUGUGAUUGGGGCAAAGUCUCUACCUUCACAAAGUUUACAGUCUAGCAAGAGACACAGACAAUGAACAAUCAAGUGAAUAAAAAUAACCAUUUCAGGAGUGAGAUGACAAUGGCUACGAAGGAAAUAAGGCCAGGGCAGAAUGGUCUAGCAUGCGGCUGGUGAUCAGGUAGGGCCUCUUUGAGAGAGCGAUAUUUGAGCUGAAUAAAGUGAGGGAGGAAGCAUGAGAGGAUGUGAGGUGGAGUAUUCCAUACAGAGGGAGUAGGAAGUGUGAAGGCCCUGAGGCUAGGACCCAGUUUAAUUGGCGCCAGGAGCCCCAAGGAGGCCAGCGUGGCAGCAGUAAUAUGAGGAAGCAGAGUGGUGGUAGGACAAGGGGUUAGACAGAGCUGUUGGGCUCCUCAGGGUGUGGGUAGCUCUGUCUGUGGGGCCCUAGGACUGCCAUAGAUGUGCUAGGAUUCAAGCCAAGUGUCUGCUCUCAGGCACAGACCAGAUCCACUCUCUGGGGAGUCGGUGGUCCCACAGCCCACCACACCUCCUCCUCCUUUUGUCCAAGUCUCUCCUUCUAGAACAUUCCAUUAGUGCAGUUUGGGUGGCAACGAUGGCUGCAGAGGUGGAGGGCUGUAGCCAGGGAUCUUGCUGCCUUUGGAGAGAGGGCUGCAGCUGGAGGCUUAAGGCCCUUCGUCUCGGGUAUGGCCCUUCUAUCCCCAGUCGACAUACUGGCUGCUACUCUCUCCACUGUUGGCUCAGGAUACCCCUCUCUGCUUGGGUUGAUCAGAAGUCCCCACAUCCCACACUGGGCCCGCUGGGAGCUCCAGGCCACAUGCUGGUCUCUGGCCAGCCUUGUUCGAAGCCAUCUUCUUGCACCUCUGUGCGCAUCCAGCCCUCCUUCCUAUCCUUCGCCCUCUGAGUCUGGGCUUCCACUUUCCACCUCGUCUCAGCUGGCUCUUAGCUCUGGCCCCAUCAGCUGGUGACAUGCCCAACUGAUGGCCAACUAGUUGAUUCCCUGCUGUGGAGGACGAUGUUGUGAGUUUGCCCAGUGUUGACACACAUCGCUGUGGCCAGGCCAUCAGUGGGGCGAUGGGGAAGAAAAGACGUCUGCCCUCAGGGAGCUCGCAGCUGGCAGGGGCCAUAGGUAUAAAGACUGGGCUGGAGGAGUAAAUGGCCCUCUACCACCCACAGCCAUCUUCUUCUGACAUGUGGUCUAGUGUUUGUUUUUUAAUGCGGAAAAAAUUGAAAUCCAUAGAAAAGUUGUAAGGAUGGCUUAACAAACACCUCUCUGUCCUUUAUCUGGAGCAAUGGUUCUCAGGAUGCUUUUGCUCCCCAGAGGACAGGUCUGGAGGCCAUGUCUAGAGAUAUUUUUGUUGUUACAACUGGGAGGUGCUCCCCGCAUCUAGUGGGUAGAGGCGAGGGAUGCUGCUAAGCAGCCUAUAAUAUGUACCAUGCUGUGACUGUCCCUCGCACCAAAGAAUUUUCCAGUUCUCAUUGCAAGCAGAAAAAAAACAUGUGGUGAUGGAUGUUACCUAAACUGACUGUGGUGAUCACUUCUCAAUAUACACAUAUAUCACAUCAUUAUGUUGUACACCGAAAACUAAUAUAAUGCUAUACGUCAAUAAUAUCUCAAUAAAGAAAAAGAGAUACAAUGAAAUGAAAUCACACUGAAAAUCUGUGAAUGAAAGCCUGGAAAAAUGGAUAAUGUGCAAAUAGUAGCCAAAGAAAACUAGUGUGGCCACAUUAAUAUCGGACAAAUAGAUUUUAAGCAACUAUAUUAAUAGGGAUUAGGAGGGAAAAUACAUAGAAUUAAAGAGAAAAUUCUUUAAGAAGGCAAAACAAUCAUAAAUGUACAUGCACCUAAAAGCAGAGCCUGUAAAUAUAUAAAAGGAGAAAUGUAAAAAUCCAUAACUAAUUUGGGAUAUUUUUUUUAAUUUUUUUUUUCAACGUUUAUUUAUUUUUGGGACAGAGAGAGACAGAGCAUGAACGGGCGAGGGGCAGAGAGAGAGGGAGACACAGAAUCAGAAACAGGCUCCAGGCUCUGAGCCAUCAGCCCAGAGCCCGACGCGGGGCUUGAACUCACGGACCGCGAGAUCGUGACCUGGCUGAAGUCGGACGCUUAACCGACUGCGCCACCCAGGCGCCCCUGAAUAUAAUUUUUUUUAAUUUUUUUUUUCAACGUAAUUUGGGAUAUUUUUAAUACACCUCUGUGAAACAAAAGAGAAAGGUUAUAGACUAUCUCAGCAACAAAAUGUAUGAUCUUCUAUAUAUAUGUAUAUGCAUAUAAAUAAGUAAAUAUGCAUGUCCCAGCAGAGGAUGGGGGGCUUCCUCUUACACAGUGUGGUACUAAAUCUCAUGAUAUUUGGACAGUUGUCCCCUAACAACCCUGGAGAUGACAUCAUUAACGUCCAGCUCAACUCUUACAAUGAAGUGACGAAUUUGGAAUUGCCAUGUGCAACUCUGAAGAAAAAAAGAAAAAGAAUUUUAUGGUCUGAAAUGUCAAUAAUGACAAGAUUGAGAAAUCCUGCUCUGAAUCAACCAAUAGUCAAUGUUUGACUCAUGGACUUUAAUCUCUCUCUCUCUGUAUAUAGAUUUAUUUCUUUUUCUUCUUCUCUUUCUUGUUCUUUUUCCUCUUCUUGCCUUCCUCCUUCUCCUCCUUUUUCUUCUUCUGCUUAACUCUUUUCAGAAUGUGGUGGGCUCUUUCAGACAUCAUGACUCUUUGCCCAUAAAUACUCCAGUGUCCCUCUGCAUAAGUACAAUACACAUUUGAUACGGAAUGAUUAUCUUAUACACAGUUUAUAUUCAGAUGUUGCCAACUGUCCCAGUCAUAUCCUUGAUUGCAUUUCUUUUUCUCACCUGGAAUCCAGCCCAGAGUUAGGCCUGUAUUCAGUUGUCCUGUCCCCUUUCCCUCUUUUAAUCUGGAACAGUUAGUUCUUCAGCCCUCUGUAUCUUUCAUGACCUUGACAUUUCUGCAGAAUACAGGCCCAUUGUGUCGUAGCACGGCCUUGUCCUUCAGUGUGGGUUUGUCAGGUUGUUUCCUCCUAAUCAGAUCCAGGUCCUGCAUUUUUGGCAGGGAUCCUCAACAGCGUUGCUGAGUCCUCAGUGAAUCACAUCAGGAGGCAUGUGAUGUCUGAUGGUCCUCACUGAUCUCUUGGCUGAACUGGUGUCUACCGGAUUUCUCCCCUGCAAAGGCUUGCUUUCUCCUUUUGGGAUUAACAAGCAAUAUGGAGGCUGAUCUUUGGAGGCUGUGUCUAUAUCCUGCCCACCCCCAACAAACCACCGCCUGGGCUGAUUUUUACCUAAAUCCAUUUUCACUCUUUUGGAGCCAAAUGGUUUUCUCACUCCAUUCUUCCUUGAUGAUUCUGACCUGAUGAUUCGCCAGCAUCCGUUGAUGAUAAAUGAGUUCAUUUCUACUAUGAUGGCUGUCGGUUGGUGAUCUUAUAAACCCAUCAUUCCCUCUUCACUUAUUAUUGGCAUUCUUCUAUAAGGAAGAGUUUUCCCUCCCUGUCCCCCGCUCCUUCCUGUCUUUUUUUUCUUUGUUUUAUAUUCAUCCGAGUGAAUUCAUGGACUCUUUUUUUAUUCAAUAUGUCAUCAUCCAUUGCCGUCCUUGUUCAAUGCUCAGUCAGUGCUCAGGUUAUCCCAGAGUUGGCUGCACUGGUGUCUUCAAGCUGGCUCCUGCCCGCUUUUGGUGUCUCUCCAUCAUUCUUUGGUCAUCUCAGUACCUUCUGCCAAAACCUGAUGUUCCAGGCUCAUCUUGUAUCUUUCCUGUUUCAGCCUUGGAACCAUCUGUUUCCCCAAAUUGCCCUGCUUCCUUUUACUGGGGAAUGAUAUAAGCCAAGAUCUGUGUGCUUUCUGGGCUCAUUGUUAUCGGGGUGUCUCCGAUCCUGGGCCCUCUCAGCAGAAAGAACUAGAAACCACAUUCAUUUGUGUUUUGAUAAAUUUACAUCAUGAGCUCAUCCUUUUACCUCACACCCAAGCCCACAUCUCCCUCAUCAUCUCCCUUCCAUAUCUGGAUCUCCCCUGCUGAACACCGCGACAGCCUCAACAUUAAUUAAUGCGUUGCUCGUCUGCUCUGGGCUCCAAUAACCACAAAAUAGCUUCAGACCUGGUGAGCGACAGGUAACCCUACUAAGUAAAGUUCAGGCUGUCCGUCCAUUUCAAUUGCCUAUAGAUUGAGGGUAACAUAGUCUUUCAGUGGUGUUGAGAGGUCUCUUGGAUUUAUUCUUUGUCCCCUCUCCGUAGCAUCGUGCUAUCACGGGGAUGUGAUAUCAGUUUGUUACACAGUUAGAUUCAUUUGCUUUGAGCUUAAUUUUAGGUUUUACCUAUCCUUAUUGAUGUCACUUCACACCUGGCUUAAUUCCGUUUCACCUCUGCUUCCUGAGAUGUUGGACGACAUCGUGAGCUAACAAUGCUGGGGUGCUGGUGGUGCUGCUGGGAGCCCUCUGUGCUUCAGGGUUUCCCAAAGUGUGGGCUGCACAGCGCUGGCUCUGGCAGAGAGGACUUUUAUACAGACGUGGCAUUAAGUAGCAGUAAAUCUCGCGGUGAGAAAAGCAUUCUUCUUCCGGUUCCCCUUCCUUCUCUGAUGACUUCUGGAGGAACAUUUCACGCUGCUGUUCCCACGAGCUGGAACCCUCAGACGCAGCCCGCAGAGGGCAACGAUAUUUAGGCAGAAGACAACCUUGGUUUCUUUACCUCUUUGUUUCUGAGAGCCCGGCUGUCUGGUUUCCGCGGUAACCCUGCUGCUUUCCAGUGGUGGCCUCGGGCAAGUUACUUAAGGCCUGCGUGCCUCAGUUUCCCCAUCUCUAUGCUCGAGAUAUAAUGGCACCCCGCCAUAGGACUCUUACGAGGAUGGAUGGGUUAAUGGGCCUAGUGGAGUGCCUGGCAUGUGGUAAGCACCAGCUAUAUUCAUUUAAUUUUUAAUUUUUUUUAUUUUUGACACAGAGAGAGAGAGAGAGAGAGACAGAGCAUGAGUGGGGGAGGGGCAGAGAGAGGGAGACACAGAAUCUGAAGCAGGCUCCAGGCUCUUGAGGGGCUCGAACUCACAGACCUCGAGAUCGUGACCUGAGGCGAAGUCGGACGCUCAACCAGCUGAGCCACCCGGGUGCCCCCAGCUAUGUUCAUUUUCAUGCCAACCUUCCUUGAUGGGAAAUGAUUCGAGCUUUCCAUUCAGGAUAAUGAUGCAACAUUUCCUUUUAAGAUACAUUUCGUUCAGUCAGUCGAGGAAAAACAAAGAUUUCGUUUGAGAACAAGCGGGCUGCAGAUUUUGCAAAAAGUAGCAAAGCCCUGUGGUGUGACCUGUGGACCUGUGGUGUCCUUGCCACGGCAGCUUUUCAAUAAAGUAAUGUGCGUGAAAGAACACUGGAAACGGUCAAGUGCUCUCCUCCCUCUUCCCUCCCUCCCUUCUCUCCCUCCUCCCUCCCUCCUUCCUUUCCUUCCUCCUCCCUUCCUCUUCCUUCCUCCCCCACCUUUACUCCUUCCUCCCUCUCUUUUCUUUCCCUCCUCCCUCACCCCAGCCUUCCUCCCCUACCCGUCCUCCCCCCUCCUUCCCUCUCUCCCUCUUCCCUCCCUCCCUUCUGUCUUCCUUCCCUCCUCCCUCCCAUCCUCCUUCCUCCUCCCUCCCCGUCCUUCCUUUCUCCCUCCCUCCUUCCACAAAUAAUAACAAAGACUCCAGCUAGGUGCUGUGCCCAGUCCUGCCGCUCCAGAGGUGAAUAAGUCAUGAAGCUUCCUCCUGGAAUUCGCAGUCUAGUUGGGGAGGCAGACUGGUAACCAGAUAAUUGUUGCCCUGUGGUUAUUGCCCCCGAAGGUAGAUCUCAGCGGAGCAUGUCAUUGGAGCAGAGGGGGGUGGGAUUGCCUCACCCAGCAGAGGUGUGAGCUGGGUCAGAAAUAGUUGCUGAAGUCCGAAUCUGUCUUGAAGACCGCAGGGGAACUAUUGGGGUAAAGAUUGGGAAGGUGUUUCCCGUAGAAAGCUCCACCUGUGUAAAGUCGUGUGGCCUUAGCAAGCACCUCGGGGUGGUGGGGUGCGGGGUGCAGGGCUUGGGGGUUGAGGCGCAGGGCUGGAGAGGUCCGCAGGGGUCAGUCAUAAAGCCAAGACCUGUACUAUCGUGGAACCACUAAAAGAGCAAAGCACAGCGGGACUCGGUCACACUGCAUUUGGGGAAGGUCAUUUGGGCGCUGGGCCGCCAGCUUGGAGGGGCAAGCCUGGAGUUUGCACUUGAGGACUCUCUCCAGCCUGACCCCCUGGUCCCUGUACCCCCAUGCCUCUGCUCCCUCCAGGCGCAUUUGGCCCCACUCCCUCCUGAGCCUUUUGUAAGCCUGGCUCCCACGAGAGAGAGGCCCCAUCCGGCAUGGUAAACAAAGACUGGGUCACCCUGAUCCAGUACCCUAACCCAGUUCUGCCAUUCUCUGUCUGGACAGUCUUGAACGAGUUACUUCCCCUCCAGAAGUCAGUUUCUCCAUCAGCACCAUGGGCAGAAUCCCACCUGCCUCAAGGGCCACAGUGAAGCUCCGCCUUGGACCCACAAGCUAGAAUCCUUCAUGGCGAGUGAGGGGCCGUGUGCGAGUGUGGUGUGGGUAUUUGCACCCAGUGUCUCCCACUCCCGUCGUGCCUGGCUGACUCAGGGCCUUGACUCAGGCCUUUGUUGCUCUGCUCUCAGCUCAAAGCACUCCACCCGCUCCUGUCCUUUCCAGCAGAUGCUCUGGGUCACGUCUCUGGGUUCACUCACCAAUGCUCUGUCCACACAGGAGGUUGUCAGCCCGCGCUGAUAGCCUAUCCCCGGCACUGACCCCUGCCCCUACCCUGGAAGGCCCCUAGCGGAGGACCCUUUGACCCAAGUCACUGCUGCCAUCUAUGCUCUGACCACCUUCCUGUGAGUCGGGGGGACAGCAGAGGCUCAGGUCAAACAGCCUUUCUCCCAUCCACCACGGUCGCGGAGCCCCUUCUCUGUGCCAGGCUCAGAGCUAAGCUCUGGGUCGAGAGGGAUGGAAGAAAUGGGUCACGCCUGCUCUCGUGCCUGGUGAGUUUGUUCACUCACGGUGUGUGUUCACAUGAGCAUGUGAGUGUGAGGCGGUGUAGGGUUCAGAACUUGGGGGGUGGAGGCAUGAAGCUGGAGAGGCCUGUAAAGUUCAGGGUACAGCUCGGUGGGGAGAUGACCAUACCCAGGCAAACAAGAUCAUGUCUGUCGGAGUAUCAGGGAGGCAGGAAACAGGGCCCUCCAGGGAAAGAUGGGAGGCUUUGUUGGAGCCCUAGCGGUGGAGGAGAGUGAGGCUCCGGGGGGCGUGUGGACCGGACUUGCUGAUGGCUGGGCCCCAGCAAUCCUGAUGAGCUGUCGCCGGAGAACUUGGCUGGCCCUCCAGGCGGCUCUGAGACUUCCGAGCCCGGGGAACCAUCUGCGCCAGUGUGGAGACCUGGGUUCCAGUCUUGGGUCUGCCCCUCCCUGACGGCGUGGCCUUGGACGAAUCACCUUGGCUCCUGGACUCUCAUUUCAUUAUCUCCAGAAUCGUAACCGUACUGUCCUCUUGAGUGAUGAUGACAAAUGCACAUAAAAUCACAUCAAAGAACUCAGCAGGGUGCUGGCACCAGGAGGUACUAAAUAAAUGUUAAUUUUCACUGGCCAUACUCUCUUCCUUCUCACCAGUGACCCUCAAGAUUUCCAGGAACCCUGAAGACCCUGCUUGGGCUGUGGCUCCUUCUACAGUGUCCCCAUCAGUAAAAUGGGGUAAUAACAGAACUUGGUACAUAGUGAGUGUGCUCGCUCAGUGUUAGUGGCAGCUGGGAUUGUCAGAUGUCCCUUUCGCCUGUACCUGGCAGACCCCCUUCAGAAUCUGGCCACUGAAUCUGCCCCUGACCCCACUGGCACCUCUUGCCUCCUCCCCGUGACACCGUGGACUUUUAUGCCUCAGGGCCUUUGCUCCAGCUGCUCCCUCUGCCUGGUUCACCCUUCCCUCUAGUUGACUCCCUGCUGCCCUCUUUACUCCCUGUCCUUAGGCACUCUGUCACAUCACUCUUGUAUUUUCUCCAGAUACUUGUCGGGAUCUGAAAGGAUCUUUCUUACUUCUUCUAUUUACCUGUUUAUUAUCUGCCCUUCUUAGUUUGGAAGUUCUAGAAGGCAUAGCCUAUAUCCUGUCUCCUGCUCUGAUCCCAGCUCAUAGUACAAUCCCAGCACCCAGUAGGCACCCAGUGCAUAUUUGCUGGGAGAAGGAAGGAAGAAAGGAAGAGAAGGAGGAAGGAAGGAAAGAGAUGAAGGAGAGGAAGAGGGCAGUGGAGCCUAUGGAAGGAGGCAAGGAGGAGUGGCUGGGGGUGGGGAGCCCCACACCCUCUCCACGCAGUCCUUUUUCAGGUUUCUGUGGUGACUUUCACCUGAGCUUGCUUGCUUGCUUUCACAUUUUUAUUUUGUUGUGGUAAGAACACUUAAGGUGAGAUCUAUCUUCUUGACAGAUGCUUAAGUGUAUGAUACAGUGUUGUUAACUAUAGGCAGAUCUCUAGAACUUACUCAUCUUGUGUGACUGAAACUGUAUACCUGUUGAAGGAUAAUUGCCCUUCCCCCUCCCCCCUGCCCCUGGCACCCACCAUUCUUCUCUGCUUCUACGAGUUCGAGGCUUCAUGUGGUAACUGGAGUCAUGCAGUAUCUGUCCUUCUGUGACUGACUUGUUUCCCUCAGCACGAUGUCCUCAAGGUUCAUCCAUGUUGUUGCAUAUGGUAGGGUUUCCUUUAGUUAGUGUUGUUAUUGUUAUUAUUAUUUAUUAUUAUAUUUAUUUAUUAUAUUAUUGUUAUUAUUUUAGAGAAAGAGUGUGUGCACAUGCGCACAUGUGCAAGCAGGGGAGAGGAGCAGAGGGAGAGAGAGAAUCUUAAGCAGGCUCCAUGCUCAGGGCAGAACCCGAUGCCAGGCUCAAUCCCAUGACCCUGGGAUCAUGAUCUGAGCCGACAUCAAGACUCAGAAGCUCAACCCACUGAGCCACCCCGGCGCCCCAGGAUUUCCUUUUUUAAAGGCUGAUAAUAUUCGAUUGUAUGUCUAUACCACAUUUUCUUUACCCAUUCAUCUGUCCGUGAACACUUAGGUUGUCUCCACAUCUUGGCUAUUGUGACUAAUGUUGCACUGAACAUCAAACCAAAGCUUCUGCACAGCAAAGGAAACAGUAAACAGUGAAAAGGCGACCCAUGGAAUGGGAGGAACUAUUUACAAGCCAUAUGUCAAGUAAGGGAUAUAUAUCCGGAGUAUUAAGAGAACUUCUGCAACUCAAUAGCAAAAAACCAAAUAACCCGAUUAAAAAAUGGACUAAGGACUUGAACAGGUAUCUCUCCAAAGAAAAUACCCAAAUGGCCAACACGUAUAUGAGAAGAUGCUCAACGUCACUAGUCAUCA